UACGUAGGGUGCGAGCGUUGUCCGGAAUUAUUGGGCGUAAAGAGCUCGUAGGCGGUUUGUCGCGUCUGCUGUGAAAACUCAGGGCUUAACCCUGAGCCUGCAGUGGGUACGGGCAGACUAGAGUGUGGUAGGGGGAGAUCGGAAUUCCUGGUGUAGCGGUGGAAUGCGCAGAUAUCAGGAGGAACACCGGUGGCGAAGGCGGAUCUCUGGGCCAUAACUGACGCUGAGGAGCGAAAGCAUGGGGAGCGAACAGG
rnacentral:rRNA from 1 species